AACCUUAUGGACCUGCGGGCGUAUACCUGCGGAGGGAUCAUUACCGAGUUAGGGUGUCUGUUUCGCAGCGCCCGACCUCCCAACCCUUUGUCUAUGAUACCUAAACAGUUGCUUCGGCGUGCCGAGGGGUCGUACCCUCGCCGGGCCUCACGGCCGGGAGCGCGCACGUCGACGGCCUUUAUCUAACACUUGAACCCAAAACCUGUCGUCUGAAAACUUGUGAUUAACCAAUAAUCAAAA
rnacentral:misc_RNA from 1 species